UCUUAAAGGGGGAGGGGCUGAGAUCUCUUUUAAAGCUGGACCAAUUUUACACUGGCAGGGCCCAUAAUGUGCGGCUCUGCAUUACAGCGCCCUACAGGAUGCAUCUAAACUAGUUUGGUCAGCGUAUCCAUUCCCUGAAAGCAAGGGAGCCGCCACAUCAGUAACUCCGUUCCUAAGGCAACUGCUUACUUUCCGUAUCAACUGCAAACUCGUUGCUAUGGAGAUGCAUAUACAAGAAAAAUUCCUCUUUCCAGCCAGGGACCAGAUGGCAGGGAACUCGCAGAAGCCAUGGGUUAGGGGGCUUUGCUAAGUGAGAUGUUUACUGGAGUACAUUUCUCUCCUGAUAUCAGAGAUGCAGCUGCCCCGAGCACAUUUAGAAGCUGCACUCUUGGCGCAAAAGUAAAGGUUUAUUCUCUUCUGCCUGCAAAACUACAGCCAGUAACUAGAGAUUUAUACCUCUACCUGAACAUCUCUACAGAGCUUGAAACUCAUAUAGCGACUUCCUGACAGCUCCACUUAGAUGUGGUCAAAAUAGAAUUUUGGCACUAAUCCCCAUCCAACUUCCCAAUCCAAAUUUGCCCACACAUUCUUCAUCAGCAACCCCUGACCCUGGUUCAAGCUGGCAUCGCUCCCACCAUCUUUCUUUUGCACCACUAGAAACAAGCCCCAGAGAGGUAUUUCUCCUUUCUGUCCUUUUAGAUGUAACCACAUUCUCCCUUCUCUUUUUUCUUUUUUUUAAAGAUGGGGUUUCACCAUGAUGGCCAGGCUGGUCUUGAACUCCUGACCUCAGGUGAUCCACCUACCUCGGCCUCCCAAAGUGCUGGGAUUACAGGCGUGAGCCACCACACCAGGCCUUUUUUUUUUUUUUUAAGACAGAGUUUUCACUCUUGUUGCCCAGGCUGGAGUGCAACAGCACAAUCUCAGUUUACCGCAACCUCUGCCUCCAGGGUUCAAGUGAUUCUCCUGCCUUAGCCUCCCCAAGUAGCUGGGAUUACAGGCAUGCGCCACCACAUCUGGUUAAUUUUGUAUUUUUAGUAGAGACGAGGUUGCUCCAUGUUGGUCAGGCUGGUCUCGAACUCCCGACCUCAGGUGAUCCACCCAUCUCAGUCUCCCAAAGUGCCGGGCUUACAGGCGUGAGCCAUCACGCCCAGCCUUAGUUUUGGAUUUUUAAUAAAAGUAGAGUUUCUCUGUGUUUGUCAGGCUGGCCUCCAACUCCCGACCUCAGGUGAUCCACCCGCCUCCACCUCCUAAAGUGAUGGGAUUACAGGUAUGAGCCACUGUGACUGGCAAUCUCCCCUUUCUAAUACACUUCCUUUCUGUUCCUGGGACAUUUUGAGCCAUUGCCACCUCAUGGCCUUUGCACUUGCUGUUCUCUCUGCCCAGAUCUUUGCAUGGCUGCAUCCCUCUUGCCAUUCAGGGCAUGGCCUAGUCAGAUGCCCUGAGAAGCCUCCCACCUUCCUUCCCACUUCCUCCCCACUCCUCUCUGGGACAUUAUCCUGUUUUAUUUUCUUCACUGCAUGUAACACAAUCUGGUACAUUACCUACCCUGCCAUGUAGGUUACUACCAUUUACCACGCACCUCCUCCUCCUCCACUCCCACUGCUACCCUGUGGCUGGUCCAGGAGAGCCUGCCAGAGGUUGCCACUGUAUCCCCAGCACCCAGAACAAUGCCUGGUACUCCACAAACAAGGGUAGGAAGAAUGAACCACUGCUGAAAAAACUUCUAAAAUGACUGAAACCACUUCUUUUCAUAAAUACAUGGCCCAAUUUUUACCUUGCAAACUAGGGGCUGGGCACAAUGGCUCAAGCCUGUAAUCUCAGCACUUUGGGAGGGUGAGGUGGGCGGAUCACCUGAAGUCAGGAGUUCAAGACCAGCCUGACCAACAUGGAGAAACCCCGUCUCUACUAAAAAUACAAAAAUUAGCUGGGUGUGGUGGUGCUUGCCUGUAAUACCAGCUACUCAGGAGGCUGAGGCACAAACAUCGCUUGAACCCAGGAGGCAGAGGUUGCAGUGAGCCGAGAUCCUGCCACUGAACUCCGUCUUAACAAUGACAACAGAAACACUAGGUAUUUUGCAAGACCUCAGAACCACAGCUGCAAACACUAGUUCUCAACUCAAAGCAAUUUAGCAUGCGGAGCAGUAUUCCGGGAGUACCUACUGUGAGGCCGUGCCUCACCUGUGUGCCAGGCUGCCUGUACCUCGAUUCCUGAAGAUUCAGGAUAUUUCCCCCCACCCCCCAACUAGAGCCAGGAUCAGAGUCAGCUCACAUGACUUGGCCUUCUGGAAACAAAGCAUGUGCACACAUUUGGUUAGGUGGGUGUUUUCUGUCUAAUGACAUUAGUUAAAUCACUUAACGGCCCUGUCCCUAGAGAAGGACAGUCACAGCUUUCUAUGAGGCACUUCACAGAACUCCAGUAAAUAGAAGGAGACACUGAACUCGACCCCACGGGGCCCAGAGGGAAAUCCCACAUGCCCUGUGAGGACCAAAGGAAGAAAAAGAAGGGUAAUUGGAGAGCUUUUUCCCCUGGGAAGCGUGUAGCCACUCUGCCUGUAUUUACUGUCUCCUGCUGAGUUCACAAGCAAAGGUACUCAAACAAGCACACACACACACACAAAUCAAAGACUUCAUUCUGUUCAUAGAACUGUCUGUAAUCUUACACAGCAACCCAUCAAGUUAUUACUAAAAGAAUGACUUCACACUACUCGCUAUCUUCAGCCAUGUCUCCUUGCUUUCCUUAUCAUCCUUGACACACACUGUAUCUUCACCUCAAUCAAGCUAUCGCUUUUGAUGAUAUUAAAUGCAAUUUAACCAGAAUAUCUUAAAGCAAAAGUUAUUUUGCUUUAAGUUAUUUGCUUAGUUAUUUGGAAGGUUGCUUUAAGUUAUUUGCUUAGUUAUUUGGAAGGCUGAAAAAAUGGGUCAGCAUCUCUGCUUUGCUUAAGCUACCAAUGCAAUUUAAAGUUUUUCACUUAGCAUCCUAGCUCUUCCAACAAGUCCCUAUCUUUAUUUACAUAACCUUGCAGCCACCAUCUCUCUCCGUCCUUUUCUCUGACAUUGUUCUGACACAUCCUUUGGGUCCAGCAACAUUUGUCUCCUAAGCAUCUAAGAUCUUUGUGGCAGAUAAUUCCAAGUUUGCUUGGCAACAGAACCAACAUUUAAUUUGGGGUUGCAAUGGAUCCGGCAAAAGAGUCCAUUUCCCAGACUUCCUUGCAGCUAGAAGUCAUGUGACCAGGCUCUAGCCAAUAAGAUGAAAGCAGAGAAUGGGGUUUCCAGGAAAUCCCCUUAAAAUCAGGAAGUCAGCAAGACUCCCUCCUGUCCAUCCCUGUACUCCCCUUCUUGCUUCCUAAAAUGAGAACCUGCUAGCUGACACCAUCUUAGACCAUGAGAAGACAGAAUGGAAACCCGCAAUGCCCUAAGAACAGCAGAGAAGAGGGAAUGUGUGUCUCUGCCUAGCUCCUCAAGGCUUAUUUCAUGUAAUGGAGAAAUAUGUCCCAGCUUGUUUAAAUCACUGGUUUCUCUACAAUAAACAGUCAAGCCUCC